GUAUAUUUAAAUGCUGCGUGCGUGCCUUGUGUUUUGAUGCGCGUGCGCGUAAACAUUCGAGUCGCAUUCAAAGACAGGAGCGCGCGCGUUGCGCGAGCAGAUGGAAACAGAAAACGUCAUCAACUGGUACACAGCAAAACUAGCGUCUCUCGCUGUUUUCACUGCUUUCAGAAAUGGUUUUGUGUCUUCGAAAAAGUCCGUUAGCAUCCCAACCGUUUUCAGAAGAGCGCCUUUCUAGACACUCAAAACGCUUCAC